AAAUUGAAGAGUUUGAUCAUGGCUCAGAUUGAACGCUGGCGGCAGGCCUAACACAUGCAAGUCGAGCGGAAACGAGUUAUCAGAACCUUCGGGGGACGAUAACGGCGUCGAGCGGCGGACGGGUGAGUAAUGCCUAGGAAAUUGCCCUGAUGUGGGGGAUAACCAUUGGAAACGAUGGCUAAUACCGCAUGAUGCCUACGGGCCAAAGAGGGGGACCUUCGGGCCUCUCGCGUCAGGAUAUGCCUAGGUGGGAUUAGCUAGUUGGUGAGGUAAGGGCUCACCAAGGCGACGAUCCCUAGCUGGUCUGAGAGGAUGAUCAGCCACACUGGAA
rnacentral:rRNA from 1 species